AACGUAGGUGGCAAGCGUUAUCCGGAUUUACUGGGCGUAAAGCGUGUGCAGGCGGUGUGAUAAGUGGUGUGUGAAAUCUCCGCGCUUAACGUGGAGGGGUUAUGCCAGACUGUCACACUUGAACCCAUCAGAGGGACGUGGAAUUCCGGGUGUAGUGGUGAAAUCCGUAGAGAUCCGGAGGAACACCAGAGGCGAAAGCGGCGUCCUGGGGUGAGGUUGACGCUCAGACACGAAAGCAUGGGGAGCGAACGGG
rnacentral:rRNA from 1 species